GAUGAACGCUGGCGGCGUGCCUAACACAUGCAAGUCGGGGGGCAGCACAUGAGUAGCAAUACGAUGGUGGCGACCGGCGCACGGGUGAGUAACACGUAUGCAACCUACCGGUAAAAGGGGGAUAGCCUCUCGAAAGAGAGAUUAAUACCGCAUAAUAUGUAGAUAUCGCAUGGUAUUUAUAUUAAACAUUUAUGGAUUACCGAUGGGCAUGCGUAUGAUUAGCUAGUUGGUGAGGUAACGGCUCACCAAGGCAACGAUCAUUAGGGGUUCUGAGAGGAAGGUCCCCCACACUGGUACUGAGACACAGACCAGACUCCUACGGGAGGCAGCAGUGAGGAAUAUUGGUCAAUGGGCGCGAGCCUGAACCAGCCAAGUCGCGUGAAGGAUGAAGGUGCUAUGCAUUGUAAACUUCUUUUGUAAGGGAAUAAAAAGUAGUACGUGUACUAUAUUGUAUGUACUUUACGAAUAAGGAUCGGCUAACUCCGUGCCAGCCGCCGCAGUAAAAC
rnacentral:rRNA from 1 species